CCUUCCCUUUGUCUUUCUUACUUGCCCUUUGAUUCCAUGGAGGCCUUACUAGCACCCUUGAUGGUCAAAAAAGCUCUUAGAUAAUUCUUUCUACUAACAUCUCCUAUGCUCCCACUAGUCCUUAUCUAGAUGAUGACCUAGCAACUCUAUGAUACGAGUGGCCUUAGAAAAUCACAUCACUCCUUUCUUAGACAGUGGCAU
rnacentral:lncRNA from 1 species